AUUGAACGCUGGCGGCAGGCCUAACACAUGCAAGUCGAACGAGUGGCGGACGGGUGAGUAAUGUCUGGGAAACUGCCCGAUGGAGGGGGAUAACUACUGGAAACGUUGGCUAUUCCGCCUUACAUUCAGAUUUCCCAAUAUGGGAUUAGCUAGUGGGUGGGGUAAGGGCUCACCAAGGCGACGAUCCCUAGCUGGUCUGAGAGGAUGACCAGCCACACUGGAACUGAGACACGGUCCAGACUCCUACGGGAGGCAGCAGUGGGGAAUAUUGCACAAUGGGCGCAAGCCUGAUGCAGCCAUGCCGCGUGUAUGAAGAAGGCCUUCGGGUUGUAAAGUACUUUCAGCGAGGAGGCGUUACCCGCAGAAGAAGCACCGGCUAACUCCGUGCCAGCAGCCGCGGUAAUUC
rnacentral:rRNA from 1 species